UAUUUGUAAGGCCCUGUGUUCUCGAGUGAGCAGUGAUUCAGCCCAACCCUUCGGACUCUACACUCUCGGUCCCUAGAUUCCUAUCACGGAGAAGCAUGCAGUGGGCGAAUUCUUGGGCAAAUGGGACCAACGCCUGCAUCCAACCCAUCCGGCUGCAAUGUAUGAAAGCACUAAGGUUAGAAAGCUUCUUUUUUCCGAGGACGAAUAAUGCCGGAUCACGAAGAAUUAGGCCCGGGUAACCUUCUUGUCAGGCAGCGCCAGUAAUACGAAGUAGGCCUAGCAUUGCUCGGUAAUCCACUGGGCGUAAAGGGGCGCGGUACGCGGCCAUCAAGGUCGGGGGUGAAAGACUUAUGGCCCAACCACAGAAUCGCCUCCGAUUCCGCUCUGGCUGAGUAUGGUUAGAGGCUCAGUGGAACUGCGAGCGUAGCAGGUGAAAUUCGUAGAUAUCGCCAAGACCACCAGUGGCGAAGCCGGCUGACUUGACUAUUUACUGACGCUGAAGCGGCGAAAGCGUGGGGAGCAAACCAGGAUUAGAUUACCUGGUAGUCCACGCCGUAAACGAUGAAUGCUAGCUGUUGGGGUGCUUGCACUUCAGUAGCGCAGCUAACGCUUUAAGCAUUCCCGCCUGGGGAGUACGGUCGCAAGAUUAAAACUCAAAGGAAUUGACGGGGGCCCGCACAAGCGGUGGAGCAUGUGGUUUAAUUCGAAGCAACGCGCCGAACCUUACCAUCCCUUGACAUGUCCUGCCAUCCGGAGAGAUCCGGGGUUCCCUUCCGGGACGCGACCACAGCUGCUGAAUGGCCGUCGUCAGCUCGUGUCGUGAAAUGUUGCGUUAAGUCCCCCAAUGAGCCCAACCCACGUCCUUAGUUGCCAUCAUUCAGUUGGGCACUCUAGGGAGACUGCCGGUGAUAAGCCGCGAGGACGGUGUGGAUGCCGUCAAGUCCUCAUCGCCCUUACGGGAUGGGCCACACACGUGCUACAAUGGCGGUGACAGUGCGACGCGAAACCGCGAGGUUGAGCAAAUCCCCAAAAUCCGGCUCAGUUCAGAUGGCGAUCUGCAACUCGAGUGCAUGAAGGGGGAAUCGCUAGUAAUCGUGGAUCAGCAUUCCUAGGCCCUACGUUCCCGGUCCCCGCCACACCGCCCGCCCCCCCUUGAGUUGGUUCUUUCCCACGCGCCCGCCACCCGCAAGGAGGCCCGGCCCCGCCCGGUUGGUGUUGUUAAUGCCA
rnacentral:rRNA from 1 species